GUGGGGAAUCUUCCGCAAUGGACGAAAGUCUGACGGAGCGACGCCGCGUGAGUGAAGAAGGCCUUCGGGUCGUAAAGCUCUGUCAUCAGGGACGAACGGCCGGUGGAGUGGAAAGCCACCGGAUUGACGGUACCUGAGAAGGAAGCCACGGCUAACUACGUGCCAGCAGCCGCGGUAAUACGUAGGUGGCAAGCGUUGUCCGGAAUUAUUGGGCGUAAAGCGCGCGCAGGUGGGAUCUUAAGUCCAUUUUUAAAGUUCGGAGCUCAACUCCGUGAUGGGAUGGAAACUGGGAUUCUUGAGUACCGGAGAGGAAAGCGGAAUUCCCCGUGUAGCGGUGAAAUGCGUAGAUAUGGGGAGGAACACCAGUGGCGAAGGCGGCUUUCUGGACGGUGUCUGACACUGAGGCGCGAAAGCCAGGGGAGCGAACGGGAUUAGAUACCCCAGUAGUCC
rnacentral:rRNA from 1 species